rnacentral:lncRNA from 1 species
AGUCUUUCUUCUUUUUUUUUUCCCCUUUAUUUAAUAGACCCUGAUUGUACAUAUGGGACAUUCAGUGAAUGGAGCAGAUAAAGUCCUGUCAAGCCCCUUAAGUAUAUCAUGGAUUAACAGCAAUUUGAAAAAUGAAAUUGUGGUUGUAUCUGGCUCACCAACAAACAAAGGAAAGGGCGAUGUAAACACUAUAUGGAAAUAUGUGAUCUGUUAAAUUAUAAAUUCACAUUUAAAGAAUUAGAACCACAAAAAAUGUGUAUUGUGCAAAAAUAUGAGUUCAAAUUAUAAUUAUAAGCAG